rnacentral:rRNA from 1 species
UAUUGGGCGUAGAGGGCUCGCAGGCGGUUUCUUAAGUCUGAUGUGAAAGCCCCCGGCUCAACCGGGGAGGGUCAUUGGAAACUGGGGAACUUGAGUGCAGAAGAGGAGAGUGGAAUUCCACGUGUAGCGGUGAAAUGCGUAGAGAUGUGGAGGAACACCAGUGGCGAAGGCGACUCUCUGGUCUGUAACUGACGCUGAGGAGCGAAAGCGUGGGGAGCGAACAGGAUUAGAUACCCUGGUAGUCCACGCCGUAAACGAUGAGUGCUAAGUGUUAGGGGGUUUCCGCCCCUUAGUGCUGCAGCUAACGCAUUAAGCACUCCGCCUGGGGAGUACGGUCGCAAGACUGAAACUCAAAGGAAUUGACGGGGGCCCGCACAAGCGGUGGAGCAUGUGGUUUAAUUCGAAGCAACGCGAAGAACCUUACCAGGUCUUGACAUCCUCUGACAAUCCUAGAGAUAGGACGUCCCCUUCGGGGGCAGAGUGACAGGUGGUGCAUGGUUGUCGUCAGCUCGUGUCGUGAGAUGUUGGGUUAAGUCCCGCAACGAGCGCAACCCUUGAUCUUAGUUGCCAGCAUUCAGUUGGGCACUCUAAGGUGACUGCCGGUGACAAACCGGAGGAAGGUGGGGAUGACGUCAAAUCAUCAUGCCCCUUAUGACCUGGGCUACACACGUGCUACAAUGGACAGAACAAAGGGCAGCGAAACCGCGAGGUUAAGCCAAUCCCACAAAUCUGUUCUCAGUUCGG